UACGUAGGGUGCAAGCGUUAAUCGGAAUUACUGGGCGUAAAGCGUGCGCAGGCGGUUUUGCAAGACAGAUGUGAAAUCCCCGGGCUUAACCUGGGAAUUGCAUUUGUGACUGCCCGGCUAGAGUGUGUCAGAGGGGGGUAGAAUUCCACGUGUAGCAGUGAAAUGCGUAGAUAUGUGGAGGAAUACCGAUGGCGAAGGCAGCCCCCUGGGAUAACACUGACGCUCAUGCACGAAAGCGUGGGGAGCAAACAGG
rnacentral:rRNA from 1 species